rnacentral:rRNA from 1 species
CAUCAUUAAGUUGGGCACUCUAAGUUGACUGCCGGUGACAAACCGGAGGAAGGUGGGGAUGACGUCAAAUCAUCAUGCCCCUUAUGAUUUGGGCUACACACGUGCUACAAUGGACAAUACAAAGGGCAGCGAAACCGCGAGGUCAAGCAAAUCCCAUAAAGUUGUUCUCAGUUCGGAUUGUAGUCUGCAACUCGACUACAUGAAGCUGGAAUCGCUAGUAAUCGUAGAUCAGCAUGCUACGGUGAAUACGUUCCCGGGUCUUGUACACACCGCCCGUCACACCACGAGAGUUUGUAACACCCGAAGCCGGUGGAGUAACCAUUUGGAGCUAGCCGUCGAAGGUGGGACAAAUGAUUGGGGUGAAGUCGUAACAAGGUAGCCGUAUCGGAAGGUGCGGCUGGAUCAC